rnacentral:rRNA from 1 species
GAUGAACGCUGGCGGCGUGCUUAACACAUGCAAGUCGAACGGAAAGGCCCAAGCUUGCUUGGGUACUCGAGUGGCGAACGGGUGAGUAACACGUGGGUGAUCUGCCCUGCACUUCGGGAUAAGCCUGGGAAACUGGGUCUAAUACCGGAUAGGACCACUUCUUGGAUGUUGUGGUGGAAAGUUUUUUCGGUGUGGGAUGAGCUCGCGGCCUAUCAGCUUGUUGGUGGGGUAAUGGCCUACCAAGGCGUCGACGGGUAGCCGGCCUGAGAGGGUGUACGGCCACAUUGGGACUGAGAUACGGCCCAGACUCCUACGGGAGGCAGCAGUGGGGAGUAUUGCACAAUGGGCGCAAGCCGGAUGCAGCGACGCCGCGUGGGGGAUGACGGCCUUCGGGUUGUAAACUCCUUUCGCUAGGGACGAAGCGUUUUGUGACGGUACCUGGAGAAGAAGCACCGGCUAACUACGUG